rnacentral:misc_RNA from 1 species
AGCAGAAUGACUAGUGAACAUGUUUUUAUCAUUUAAGGGGAUGGAUGAUGGCUUGCCUAAUCUAUCCCCCAUGUCAGGUUGCGUUCCUUUGUGUUUGCAUCCUGGCAAAAUAACCAACCCCCGGCGUGUGAAGCGUCAAGGAACAUAAUAUGAGUUUGCCUACUCGUGACCGGGUCUCCGGUGCAUGUGUGGGUUACAAACCUAAGUCAUGAAAUGA